rnacentral:rRNA from 1 species
GACGAACGCUGGCGGCGUGCUUAACACAUGCAAGUCGAACGGUGAAGGCGGAGCUUGCUCUGCCGGAUCAGUGGCGAACGGGUGAGUAACACGUGGGCAACCUGCCCCUCACUUCGGGAUAACUCCGGGAAACCGGGGCUAAUACCGGAUACGACCUCCUUGGGCAUCUUUGGAGGUGGAAAGUUUUUCGGUGAGGGAUGGGCCCGCGGCCUAUCAGCUUGUUGGUGAGGUAGUGGCUCACCAAGGCGACGACGGGUAGCCGGCCUGAGAGGGCGACCGGCCACACCGGGACUGAGACACGGCCCAGACUCCUACGGGAGGCAGCAGUGGGGAAUAUUGCGCAAUGGGCGAAAGCCUGACGCAGCAACGCCGCGUGCGGGAUGAAGGCCUUCGGGUUGUAAACCGCUUUCAGCAGGGAAGAAGCCGCAAGGUGACGGUACCUGCAGAAGAAGCACCGGCUAACUACGUGCCAGCCGCCGCGGUAA